AAAGCACAGGGACGCUUCAGAAGUGUUACGCCGGGCGAUGGUAGCCCCGGUUGUAAAGGACACAAUUGAGUGGAAGGUAACAUGGAUGGAGACAAGAAAAGCUGUGUGUAUCUGGAAGGAGCCCGUACCGCAAACCGACACAGGUAGAUAGGAAGAAGAUUCUAAGGCCAGCGGGAGAAGGGUUGUUAAGGAACUCGGCAAGUUGACCCCGUAACUUCGGGAGAAGGGGUGCUUACGAAGGUAAGCCGCAGAGAAUAGGCCCAAGCGACUGUUUAGCAAAAACACAGCUCUAUGCUAAAUCGAAAGAUGACGUAUAUGGGGUGACACCUGCCCGGUGCUGGAAGGUUAAGAGGAGAUGUGAGAGCAUUGAAUUGAAGCCCCAGUAAACGGCGGCCGUAACAAUAACGGUCCUAAGGUAGCGAAAUUCCUUGUCAGGUAAGUUCUGACCCGCACGAAUGGUGUAACGAUUUGGGCACUGUCUCAACAACCUACCCGGCGAAAUUGUAGUACCGGUGAAGAUGCCGGUUACCCGCGACUAGACGGAAAGACCCCAUGGAGCUUCACUGUAGCUUAAUAUUGAAUUUUGGUAUUUCAUGUACAGGAUAGGUGGGAGACUGGGAAAUACAGGCGUCAGCUUGUAUGGAGUCACUGUUGGGAUACCACUCUUGAGGUGCUGAAAUUCUAACCUGCGUCUUUGAAUCAAGACGGGGGACAUUGUUAGGUGGGCAGUUUGACUGGGGCGGUCGCCUCCAAAAGAGUAACGGAGGCGCUCAAAGGUUCGCUCAGCAUGGACGGAAACCAUGCCAAAGAGUGCUAACGCAAAAGCGAGCCUAACUGCGAGACUGACGGGUCGAGCAGUAACGAAAGUUGGAGUUAGUGAUCCGGCGGUAUGUGAGUGGAAAUGCCGUCGCUCAACGGAUAAAAGUUACCCUGGGGAUAACAGGCUGAUCUCCCCCAAGAGUCCACAUCGACGGGGAGGUUUGGCACCUCGAUGUCGGCUCAUCGCAUCCUGGGGCUGAAUUCGGUCCCAAGGGUUUGGCUGUUCGCCAAUUAAAGCGGUACGCGAGCUGGGUUCAGAACGUCGUGAGACAGUUCGGUCCCUAUCUGUCGUGGGCGUAGGAUAUUUGAAAGGAGCUGUCCCUAGUACGAGAGGACCGGGAUGGACGCACCUCUGGUGAACCAGUUGUCACGCCAGUGGCACGGCUGGGCAGCUAAGUGCGGAACGGAUAAACGCUGAAAGCAUCUAAGCGUGAAGCCGACCUUAAGAUAAGAUAUCCGUUCUUCGGAAUAAGACCCCUUGUAGACUACGAGGUUGAUAGGCUUAAAGUGUAAGCAUGGUGACAUGUUUAGCUUGCAAGUACUAAUCGGUCGAUUGCUUUU
rnacentral:rRNA from 1 species